rnacentral:tRNA from 1 species
UUUCCUGUGGCUCAGUUGGUAGAGCAUUGCGCUAACAACGCAAAGGCUAUGGAUUCAAAUCCCAAGAACUGACAGAAAAA